UAGGUUUAAAAUCUAAAAAUAAUAGUAAAGUAUUUUAUAUUA
rnacentral:tRNA from 1 species